UACGUAGGGCGCAAGCGUUAUCCGGAAUUAUUGGGCGUAAAGAGCUCGUAGGCGGUUUGUCGCGUCUGCCGUGAAAGUCCGGGGCUCAACUCCGGAUCUGCGGUGGGUACGGGCAGACUAGAGUGAUGUAGGGGAGACUGGAAUUCUUGGUGUAGCAGUGAAAUGCGUAGAUAUCAAGAGGAACACCAGUGGCGAAGGCGAGUCCCUGGACAACACCUGACACUGAGGCACGAAAGCUAGGGGAGCAAACAGG
rnacentral:rRNA from 1 species